UACGGAGGGUGCGAGCGUUAAUCGGAAUUACUGGGCGUAAAGGGCGCGUAGGCGGCCGAUCAAGUCAGAUGUGAAAGCCCACGGCUCAACCGUGGAAGUGCAUCUGAAACUGUUUGGCUUGAGUAUCGGAGGGGAAUGUGGAAUUCCUGGUGUAGAGGUGAAAUUCGUAGAGAUCAGGAGGAACACCGGUGGCGAAGGCGACAUUCUGGACGAAUACUGACGCUGAGGCGCGAAAGCGUGGGGAGCAAACAGG
rnacentral:rRNA from 1 species